rnacentral:piRNA from 1 species
UGCUUUCUGACCUGCUUGAGUUCCAGU